rnacentral:rRNA from 1 species
AUUGAACGCUGGCGGAAUGCUUUACACAUGCAAGUCGAACGGCAGCACGGGGGCAACCCUGGUGGCGAGUGGCGAACGGGUGAGUAAUACAUCGGAACGUGCCCGGUCGUGGGGGAUAACGUAGCGAAAGUUACGCUAAUACCGCAUACGAUCUGAGGAUGAAAGCGGGGGACCUUCGGGCCUCGCGCGAUCGGAGCGGCCGAUGUCAGAUUAGGUAGUUGGUGGGGUAAAGGCUACCAAGCCGACGAUCUGUAGCUGGUCUGAGAGGACGACCAGCCACACUGGGACUGAGACACGGCCCAGACUCCUACGGGAGGCAGCAGUGGGGAAUUUUGGACAAUGGGCGCAAGCCUGAUCCAGCCAUUCCGCGUGCAGGACGAAGGCCUUCGGGUUGUAAACUGCUUUUGUAUGGAACGAAAAGGCUCUGGCUAAUACCUGGGGCUCAUGACGGUACCGUAAGAAUAAGCACCGGCUAACUACGUG